rnacentral:snRNA from 1 species
AUCUGUUCUUAUCAGUUUAAUAUCUGAUACGUCCCUACCCGGGGACCAUAUAUUAAAUUGAUUUUUGGAGCAGGGAGAUGGAAUAGGGGCUUGCUCGUCCACUCCACGCAUCGACCUGGUAUUGCAGUAUUUCUAGGAACGGUGC